GUAUCUAGGUGCCACUUGCUCGUGGAGCAUUGCGCUACUUUACUGUUAGUGCAAUGUGCCCCGCGUAGUGUGCCUUGAGUAAAAUAGAGUGCUCAAAGCAGGCUUUUGCCUGAAUAUAAUAGCAUGGAACGAAUAGCCGUGAUGUGUACUUAAGGUGAACUGAUGCAAGUCAGCUUUAUACUUGAGUACAUAGCACCGACCACGAUGCGGUGUUGGUUACCGCAAUCGGGUAAUGAUUAAGAGGGACAUUUGGGGGCAUUGGUAUUUGACCGCGAGAGGUGAAAUUCUUGGACCGGUCAAGGACCAACAAGUGCGAAAGCAUUUGCCAAGAAUGUUUUCAUUAAUCAAGAACGAAAGUUAGAGGUUCGAAGACGAUCAGAUACCGUCAUAGUUCUAACCCUAAACUAUGCCGACCUGGGAUCAGCUCGGAGUAAUUCGAGCUCCAAGUUGGUCCCCCUGGGAAACCUAAAGUUUUUAGGCUCUGGGGGGAGUAUGGUUGCAAGGCUGAAACUUAAAGGAAUUGACGGAAGGGCACCACCAGGAGUGGAGCCUGCGGCUUAAUUUGACUCAACACGGGAAAACUCACCCGGUCCGGACAUCGAUAGGAUUGACAGACUGAUAGAUCUUUCAUGAUACGGUGGUUGGUGGUGCAUGGCCGUUCUUAGUUCGUGGAGCGAUCUGUCAGGUUAAUUCCGGUAACGAACGAGACCAAGAUCUCCAUUAUGGGUCGGUGUACACUACUGGUGUAUGCAUUUGGCCUAUGGAGAGACAACUGGGACAAAACCAGAGGAAGAUUGGCAAUAACAGGUCUGUGAUGCCCUUAGAUGUUCGGGGCUGCACGCGCGCUACAAUGAUAACGACAGCGAGUUUCUAAACCGAAAGGUGCGGUAAUCUUAUAAAUCGUUAUCGUGAUGGGGAUUGAGCCUUGUAAUUAUUGCUCAUGAAAGAGGAAUUCCUAGUAAGCUCGAGUCAUCAGCUCGUGUUGAUUACGUCUCUGCCCUUUGUACACACCGCCCGUCGCUACUACCGAGUGAAUGGUGUCAUGAUGCCUUGGGACCUGACAUGGCUGCGAGACUUUUGUUGAGCAACCGCGCGGGGAGCAAGGUAAAAUGUCAUCRGAA
rnacentral:rRNA from 1 species